ACAACAACAUUCGGACCGUCAGUCUACCGAGCAAUAUCACUCGCUUGGUGGAAGAUCUUCCUUUCGUCGUAUAUC
rnacentral:pre_miRNA from 1 species